rnacentral:rRNA from 1 species
UACGUAGGGUGCGAGCGUUAAUCGGAAUUACUGGGCGUAAAGCGUGCGCAGGCGGUGAUGUAAGACAGUUGUGAAAUCCCCGGGCUCAACCUGGGAACUGCAUCUGUGACUGCAUCGCUGGAGUGCGGCAGAGGGGGAUGGAAUUCCGUGUGUAGCAGUGAAAUGCGUAGAUAUGCGGAGGAACACCGAUGGCGAAGGCAAUCCCCUGGGCCUGCACUGACGCUCAUGCACGAAAGCGUGGGGAGCAAACAGG